rnacentral:tRNA from 1 species
GUAAGUAUAAUUUAAUGGUAAAAUACUAACCUUCCAAGUUAGUUUCGAGAGUUCGAUUCUCUCUACUUGCU